rnacentral:rRNA from 1 species
AACGAACGCUGGCGGCAUGCCUAACACAUGCAAGUCGAACGAGACCUUCGGGUCUAGUGGCGCACGGGUGCGUAACGCGUGGGAACCUGCCCUUAGGUUCGGAAUAACUCCCCGAAAGGGGUGCUAAUACCGGAUAAUGUCUUCGGACCAAAGAUUUAUCGCCUUUGGAUGGGCCCGCGUUGGAUUAGCUAGUUGGUAGGGUAAAAGCCUACCAAGGCGACGAUCCAUAGCUGGUCUGAGAGGAUGAUCAGCCACACUGGGACUGAGACACGGCCCAGACCCCCAGGGGGGGAAGGAGUGGGGAAUUUGGGAAAAGGGGCGAAACCCUGAUCCAGCAAGGCCGGGGGGGGGAAGAAGGCCUUGGGGUUGUAAAGCUUUUUUACCCGGGAGAAAAAUGAAGGAACCGGGAAAAAAAGCCCCGGCAAACCCCGG